rnacentral:rRNA from 1 species
UACAGAGGGUGCAAGCGUUGUUCGGAAUUAUUGGGCGUAAAGCGCACGUAGGCGGUUUGUUGCGUCGGCUGUGAAAUCCCGAGGCUCAACCUCGGGUCUGCAGUCGAUACGAGCAAACUAGAGUGUUGCAGGGGAGACUGGAAUUCCUGGUGUAGCGGUGAAAUGCGCAGAUAUCAGGAGGAACACCGGUGGCGAAGGCGGGUCUCUGGGCAACAACUGACGCUGGAGGAGCGAAAGCGUGGGGAGCGAACAGG